CCGGAUCUCGUACGAUCACCGAAGUUAAGCAACAUCGAGCCUGGUCAGUAUUUAGAUGGGUGAACCCUUGUGAAUACCAGGUGCUGUAA